GGGUUUGUGAUGCCGCCCUGGAGCGCCGCGGAGUAGACCUCAUUCGACGUAGCCCCCUCGUUCAUCAGAAAGCGAUAGUACCUUUUCUUGAACGGCAUGAACUGCAAAAAAGGGAACGAGCAUCUUUAUGGUGGGCCAAAAAUCAAAGCCUUCGCGGCACGUUUUACCUUGGCGUCCUCAAUUAUGCCGCGCCAGCGAUGGCACACGAGUCCGGCGCUCCUGUACAUGUCUCGGGCAGGAAGGAGGCCGAGGACCCGCCUCAGCACCUCCUCCGGGAGGUCGUCGAUGUGGCCGCAAGGCACCAGCAGCUCUUCGCUGCUGCCCAAGAGCCCGUAGGUGGCGUCGGGCAGAGCCUCCACCUCCGGCUCUUCGUGCACCGUCUCGCUCCUCGAGGCCCGCCGGCAACAAAUCCUCAUCAUCCGAACUGACCUCGUCUUCGGCUGCGCGCUCUCCAUGAAGCCCAUUUGUGCACGUGGGGCGAAAUCAGAACGCAGUCCGAGGUUGCCAACCUGCGGGAAACUCCAGCGUGAAGCAUCCCAUCGGAGGACGAAACUGCUUGACCAUCACCACGCAGUCUUUGUGCAGCGUCCUCUUCAGCAGCGCGAUGAUGCCAACGCCUGAGGGCACAGCGAAUUCCCACUAGGAAACAAUAGAAACGUGCCUGGUGGUGCCGGCAGGAUCCAAGUAGGUGGUCUUCUCCAGCUUCACCCAUCUCCCUGACGCCAGGAGCUUUCACACAAAAGACAUUUUCACCCCCGUGUUUUCCGAUCCAAAACGCA